rnacentral:lncRNA from 1 species
GUUGUAGUGUUUCAUUAUAACACGAUUUUUGUUUUCAUGCUUCUCCGCUGGCUUUUAAAAUUAUUUCACCUGAGGUUCCAGGAAAAGAAAACGCCAGAAAGGUUUCUUGAAGCCACCUGGGAACAACGUGCAGGGGAACAUAAAAGAGCGUCGCGCAGCCAUCUGAGUCCCACAGGCUAAGUGUGAUACAGCUGAGACGUGGCAACGGUGUACAAGGCCCAGGUCAGAGUGAGUCGUUUCACCAUCUACUUUUCAACAGAUUGGCUCUCUCUGCAGAGUCAUGCAAACCCAGGGCAGGCACUACAGGGCAGUGCCACACACAGGAUGAAGGAUUGAAACCUUUUUCAUCUUAAACUGAGAUUGCAAAGGGAGAGGGAAGGCUUGUUCACUACAUGUUUGUUUCCAAGCAGGUCUGCGCUCGGGGUGUCGGGCGGGCCGGAAGGGGCACCAGGAGACACGGUCGCCUCCGACCUGACCCAGCAGCUCUGCUGUCCCACGCGAGACAGCCCGUCUCCCGCCGGGGAUAUAGCGUGUCUCCAACACCAGUGACACCGUGUCUGUGUGGAAGAAUGGAUGGACUUCACAGAGCGCCUGCGUGAGGGGUUAUACAUCGCGCCUCUCGACCACAAAGUAUUGGUUUUGCAGAAAUUGUUCCGUUUUUCAAUAUUUUUAAUGGGAAGGAUACUGAUUCUUAGUGGGCUUCCUUGCAAACCAGGUGAAAACGUUCUCUAAAUUUCUGUUAGUUUUCAUGCGUGAUGCAAUUUAUAUUGCUUCUGAAGCGGUUAUUUAAAGAGCUUUUUAUCACACUGGUGCCGUCUGCACGCAAUUACAGAACGAGAGGUUCCUUCGCGUUCACGUGCUUGCUGCAUACAGCUGUGCUGCCCUCUGCCGACAAAGAGCCGCAUGUUUCUCUUGACCCUGGUCUACGUUGCAAGUCCUUCUGGAAUACGUAAAAGCUACCGAUGAACGAAAAUUCACGUCUUCCAGAUAUGCGAAUAUAAUAUAUCUGGCUUGUACCUUGAUUAUAUUCACGUGUGAAAAGCAGUGACUCCUCAGUAACUGCUUACAAACUGCUGUCAGAAAGAUCUGGCUACUUUCACUAAAUAAAGGGUUA